UACGAAGGGUGCGAGCGUUGUUCGGAUUUACUGGGCGUAAAGGGUUCGUAGGCGGGAGGGUAAGUUGGAUGUGAAAUCCCCGAGCUUAACUUGGGACGUGCAUCCAAAACUGCUUUUCUUGAGUACCGGAGAGGGUCGUAGAAUUGCUGGUGUAGGAGUGACAUCCGUAGAGAUCAGCAGGAAUACCGGAGGCGAAGGCGACGGCCUGGCCGAGUACUGACGCUGAGGAACGAAAGCGUGGGGAGCAAAC
rnacentral:rRNA from 1 species